CCUCUAAAAUUCUUUCUUUGAGAUACCCCUGGCAUCAAAAAACCCGAAAUUACCCCUACAACCCAACCCAGCCCAUAGACGGAUUUCAACAGAAUGCAAAACCAAUUCCCAAAUAAACCGUCCCUCCACUAUCAUAACCUACCAAAAAACCACUCGAAAAAUCAAACUUCUCUCUGCAAAAAAUUGCACCCAUAUUCUCGCUACCGAGAUUCACCGGAAAUGGCAAUCCAAACGAGGAAGGGCUAGUCAUCUUCAUAGACGGCAAUCCAAACAACCACAACUGCAGUCAACUUCCGCUCAUCAAUUUCAUAUACCAUCAACAGUAGUUACCUUCCAUCAAUGGUGAAGAAGACACUGGCAAAACGCCGUAAUCGAAAAGAAGAAAUGCUACAGAACGAAAACCUAGCAACAGAUACUGAAACAAAUGAACCAACAGACACACGUAAGAAGGGAAAAUGGACUUCAAAAUACCGAGCCAACAUGCCCUCAAUCGUGUCCUUCGAAGAUAUAAACCUACGACCACCCCACUAUGCAUGUCUUCGCCGUACUCCAUUCUAUCAUCUCGGUGUGCCAUUCGCAAAACACAAACUCAGCAGAGAUGACGUCCCAGGCACACAGAAUGGAACUUUCAAAAUAAUGACGUCAUACAGCAAAACAGACAGGGCAUUCCAUAUAGGAGGCAAAAAUAUCACAAUCACACCACAAGAUUGCAAGUUAAUCUUUGGCAUCCAAUCUGGCAACACACAAAUGACUUUUGACUGGUCAAGAAAGCCGCAACAAGGACUCGCAGCACGAAGAUUUGCUGCACACCCAUCCCUCCACCAAAAAACUUUGAAACACCAGCUACUUCAGUGCGUAGAUAGCGAUAACAAUGAAGACAUUGAAGAUGUGGUCAGAUUGAUGAUUCUACACCUUAUGUCAACUGUUCUUUUCAAUACUUCAGCUGAAAUCGAGUUCGGUGGAUGUUCAAGUACUGCAAUGAUAUAGAUCAAACAAAUGACUUCAACUGGGCCAGGGGGUAACUGAUUUCUUGGUUAAACAAAUCCACACAGCAAAAAAACGCGACAAAGUACAUGGUUGCAUACCACUUGUGCUGGACUUCGGCGGUGGGAUAUAUUCGAGCUUGCAUCUACACUGAGCGGCAAAGACAUGAACGAUAUCGAUCCACAACUCGUCAGUGAGAAUCCGCUGAUUCCAACAGCGCAAGAACAACAAAUCUUCGAUGGAAUUUUGGUCCUGGACGAUAUCAGCGAUGAACAUAACAACGACAGCAAUGCUAGUGUUCAUUAUGACACUGCUAAAGAUUCUAACGAGGAUGUCCAAAUCAAAACCUGGUACAAAAAGCGGCAGUCGUCAGAUGAACUCAAGAUCACCACCGAGCUGAAUGAAACAAAGAGGCUAUUGGAGCUAGAAACAAAACAAAUGACAAAACAUGAGGCCCAAGUGUCGCAACUGCAAGUUGUUGUAGAAGAACUUCAUAUGGAAAUAGUCAUGCUAAAAAACGACAAGCAGGUACUUGUUGACGAAAAUGCACAUGUCACUCUUCAACUUUCAAAACUACAGGAGGGUCACGCUUAACAAAGCUGAUGGACCGUCUUUCGAUAUCUUGAGCCAAACACAGACCAACCAGAGUGAGCUUCAAGAAAAAAUCAAAGAGAAUGCAGACUUGAAAGCAAUGAACGAAUCCCUCAUCAAACGUCAUGAAGAGAUGACAAAUGCUACAACAACUGUGCACACCGAAAAAUCUUUGUCGUUGACACAAGAGUUUGAAGCAGACAAUAUCUCAAUGACAAACAUGUAUGAGCACAGAACAAAUCGAAUCUUCUUAGAUGCUGAAAUCACCCUCCUAAAAUCAACUAAGAAGACUCAUCUUGAGAAAAUUAGAGAAAUGGAUGAAAAGAUAGCCGAGUUGGAAGCUAAUUGUGCAGAAUAUGCGUAGGCACUUGAUGAGCGCCGACCAGUUCAUCAUUCGGACAGCGACUUUGAGAUAUGUGAGGAAGAUAUCGAGGCCAAGAUAAACGACCCAAAAUCUGCAGUGGAAAAACGUACUAGGUCAAAAAAACAUAAAGUAACACCAUGUAGCACCAAUAAAGCACGUAGAGAUUUCAGAUACAAAAAAUACAACCCAUUCGUCGGCAUAAGUGCGAGAGACAAGGCAAUAAUAAACACAAUGGCAGAUCAAA